AUUGAACGCUGGCGGCAGGCCUAACACAUGCAAGUCGAGCGGAGCGGCGGACGGGUGAGUAAUGCCUAGGAAUCUGCCUGGUAGUGGGGGAUAACGUCCGGAAACGGGCGCUAAUACCGAUUACUAUCAGUUGAGCCUCGGUCGGAUUAGCUAGUUGGUGGGGUAAGGGCCUACCAAGGCGACGAUCCGUCACUGGUCUGAGAGGAUGAUCAGUCACACUGGAACUGAGACACGGUCCAGACUCCGACGGGAGGAAGCGGUGGGGAAGAUUGGACAAUGGGGGCAAGCCUGAUGCAGCCAGGCGUCGGGUAUGAAGAGGGCCUUCGGGUUGUAAAGUACGUUCAGCGGGGAGGCGUUACCCGCAGAAGAAGCACCGGCUAACUCCGUGCCAGCAGCCGCGGUAAUAC
rnacentral:rRNA from 1 species